GAGUGUCGUUUUAAGUUCCAUGCAUGCAUGUAUUUAGUAACGGCCUAACUUAAGUACUAGGGUGUCAAAUCGUUACAGUUGGUAUCAAAGCCAUGUUUUGGGUUCUGUAGACUGACUUACUACGUAAGUCUAGGUAGUCCCUGUGGCCCAGUAACGGAUUCCUUGUCAUCGCUAGGUAUGUCGUACUAAUGAAAGUUUUCAGUGCAUAUAUAAGAUUAAUGAUGUAAUAUUUUAAUAGCGUGAUUUCUGAGAAAGACCCAGAGGUAGAUAGCUAAUUUAUGAAUUCAUGACAGAUAAUGGCACCUAAACCUAGAACAAGAAAGACUGUUAGAGGAGGGAUGUAGGAAAAGGGAGUUGAGAGUAGUUAGACUAUCCUGACAGCUCCAAAUCCACCUAUGAUCCAAGUCGAUGAGAAGGCAAUGGAAGCCAGAAUUAGUGAAGUCGUUGCAUCCUCCCUAAUGGAAAAACUGCAGGAGCUGAUCCAUAACAUGAUGGCAGGACAGACUACCCAGAACUAGGCUCAGGAGGAAUCGGUGCCAUCUAAGCAGUUAAAGCAGACCCGACUGCAGGAUAGAGACAUGCAGGGCCUGUCCCUUGAGGCUAAAAAUCUGAGGGAUUUCAGGAAGUUUGACCCUCAUUACUUUGAUGGAUCGUUAGAGGACCCUACCAAAGCAGAGAUGUGGUUGUAAUUUAUCGAGACGAUUUUCCGUUUUAUGAGGUGCCCAGAAGAGCACAAGCUCCAAUGUGUAGUUUUCAUGUGGACAGCAAUGCAAAAAUCUGGUGGCGUUCAGGAGAGAAAAUGAUUGAUACUGGUGGGAAACUUACAACCUGAGAGCAGUUCAAGGAGCGUUUCUAUGAGAAGUAUUUUUUGGCCAACACCCGAUACAACAAGCAGACAGAAUUCUUGAACUUGAAACAGAGAGUUAUGUCGGUGGAGUAUGAGUAGAAAUUUGAUAAGCUGUCCCACUUUGCUCCUAAACUAGUAGCCACUGAGGAAGCGAGAAUAGAGAGAUUCAUUCAAGGUUUGAGGAGCGGACUACGAGGUUUGGUACAUGCUUAUGACCUCAAGACGUAUGUUGCGGCACUACGGGCCGCCAUGAGGAUUGAUGCUGACUCCCAGGCGGGAGAAGAGUACAGAAGGUCACUCGAGGUUGGGACCUCUGCAGGUCAGAAAAGGAAAGCUGAGCUCAGGGCUCCUAAGCAUCAGUAGAGGAACUAGAACACAGUGAAUGUUCCACGUCCAUGGGGACAGCAGGGCUCCCAAGUUGUGAUUGUCAAGAAAGAUAGGCCGAUAUGUACUACUUAUGGUAGGCGACACUGGGGAUGUUGCCUAGUCGGCUCUGGGAUCUGUUUUCGAUGUGGCCAGAAGGUGCAUAUGUCAGAGAAAGUCCCAAGGAAGAACAUGCCUGAACUCAGGGGCCAGUCCGUAAACUCGUUUCAAGGAGGCCCAAGUCAUCAACAGCAGAGGGUAGGGUGUUUUCUACCACUUGGCAUGAGGCCGAGAAGUCAAACACGAUGGUGACAGGUACGCUUCCCAUUUUGGGGCACCGUGCUUUAGUUUUGUUUGACUCUGGCUCUUUGCACUCGUUUAUAUCUUUCGUAUUUGUAAGGCAUGCCACGUUAGAGUCAGAACCUUUGCCCUUUGCACUAUCUAUUUCCACUCCAUCAGGAGAGAUCAUGUUAGCUACAAAAAAAAUAAAAGCAUGUUAGGUACUAGAGAUAGCAAAUCACACAUUAGAUGUGACCUUGAUAAUUUUAGAUAUGCGUGAUUUUGAUGUGAUUUUGGGCAUGGAUUGAUUAACUGCUAAUUAUGCCAGCAUAGAUUGCUCCCGUAAGGAGGUCAUCUUUAACCUCCUUACAGGAGCCAGUUUUAAGUUUAAAGGGAUUGGGGUCGUGGUCCUACCCAAAGUGAUUUCAGCUUUAAAGGCUAGUAGAGUGUUUGACCAAGGGCUUUUAUGGCCAGUGUGGUUGACACUAGAGGGCUGAAGUCACCUUGACUUCAGAGCCAGUAGUGAGAGAUUUUCCAGACGUUUUCCUUGAGGAUCUUCCCGGACUGUCCCCACAGCGGGAGAUAGAUUUCGCUAUUGAGUUGGAGUCAGGCACAACCCCUAUUUCGAAGACUCCAUACCGAAUGGCACUAGCAAAGUUGAGGGAACUGAAGGUCCAAUUGCAGGAGUUGUUGGACAAAGGUUUCAUACGCCCUAGUGUGUCACCAUGGGAUGCACCUAUUUUGUUUGUGAAAAAAAGAAUGGAUCGUUACGGUUGUGCAUUGAUUACAGAGAGCUGAACAAGAUGAUCGUCAAGAACAAGUAUCCCCUCCCCAGGAUUGAUGACUUAUUCGAUCAGUUGCAGGGAGCUCGGUAUUCUCAAAGAUUGAUCUCCGGUUAGGAUACCAUCAACUUAGAAUAUAGGACAAUGACAUACCCAAGAAAGUUUUUCAUUCAAAGUAUGGGCGUUAUGAGUUCAUAGUGAGGUUGUUCGGUCUAACAAAUGCCCUAGUAGUGUUCAUGGAUUUGAUGAAUAAGGUGUUCGAGGAAUUCCUCAACACCUUUGUGAUUGUUUUUAUUGACGACAUCUUGGUUUAUUCCAAGACAGAGACCGAACAUAGGGUUACGAAAAGUUUUGGAGACGUUGAGGGCCAAUAAACUGUAUGCUAAGUUUUCUAAAUGUGAGUUUUGGUUGAGGCAGGUGUCCUUUCUAGGACAUAUAGUAUCGAAGAAAUGUGUCUAUGUGGAUCCUGCAAAGAUUGAGGCAGUUACGAGUUAGGCUCGUCCAACCUCAAUCAGUGAGGUGCGCAGUUUCCUGGGACUGGUAGGCUACUGUAGACGAUUUGUAAAGGACUUCUCUCGCAUAGCCGCCCCAUUGACUCAGUUGACAUGGAAAGAAGCAGCUUUUAUUUGGAAUGAGGCUUGCAAAAACAGUUUCCAAGAUCUCAAGCAGAGGUUGGUUUCAGCCCCAGUUCUUAUAGUACCAGAUGGAUUAGGUGGUUUUGUCAUUUACAGCGACACGUCCAAUAAGGGGUUGGGAUGCGUACUGAUGCAGCAGGGCAGAGUAGUUGCUUACGCUUCACGUCAGUUAAAGAAGCAUAAACAGAAUUAUCCCACACACGACUUGGAAUUAGCAGCAGUGGUUUUCGCUCUCAAGAUCUGGAGGCAUUACUUAUAUGGAGAGAAGAUACAGAUCUUCACUGACCACAAGAGUUUAAAGUACUUUUUCACUCAGAAGAAGUUGAACAUGAGGCAAAGAAGGUGGUUAGAGCUGGUGAAGGAUUAUGACUAUGAAAUUUGUUACCACCUAGGAAAGGCAAAUGUUGUGGCAAAUGCCCUAAGCAAAAAAAUGGCUCAUUCAGCAGCCCUUAUUACUAGACAAACUCAUUUGUGCAAUGAGCUAGAGCGGGCAGAAAUUGCAGUGGCAGUGGGGAUGGUCACGACACAGUUAGCGCAGUUGUUAGUGUGACUGAGUCUAAGGCAGAGAAUUAUUGAUGCGCAGUGUUGUGACCCUUAUAUGGAGGGAGAGUUCAUAGGGUGGAGUCAGGCCAGGAUGGCGAAUCUCCUCUAUCAGGGACGUUUGUGCGUGCCAGCAGAUAAUGAUAUGAUAAUGAUAUUAAGAAUGAGUUGUUGUCAGAGGCUCACAGUUCCUUAUUUUUUAUUCAUCCCGGCAGCACCAAGAUGUAUCAGGACUUGAAACAUUAUUACUGAUGGAGUGAUAUGAAAAAAGAGACUGCGGAGUUCUUCAGUAAGUGCUUGGUGUGCCAGAAGGUGAAAGCCUCGAGGCAGAAGCCAGCAGGCUUGUUAAAGCCAUUGAAGGUUCCAUAAUGGAAGUGGGAGCAUGUGUCUAUGGACUUCAUCAUGGGGUUGCCAGGGACAGUCAAAGGUUUCACUGUAAUUUGGGUUGUGGUAGACAGAUUUACAAAAUUAGCACAUUUCAUACCUGGAAAGUCCACCUUUUCAGUAAAUAAGUGGACACAGUUAUACAUGAAGGAGGUAGUGAGAUUACACGGAGUGCCUGUGUCCAUCGUGUCGGACAGAGACCCUCGUUUUACGUCUAACUUCUAGAAGAGUCUUCAGGCAACUUUGGGGACCCGGUUGGAUUUUAGUACAGCUUUUCAUCCACAGAUUGAUGGGCAGAUAGAGUGAUUGUAUCAAAUAUUGAAAAACAUGUUGCGUGCCUGUGCCAUAGAGUUUUCAGGAAACUGAGAUGCUAACUUGUAUUUGAUGGAGUUUGCUUAUAAUAAUAACUAUCAGUCUACUAUUGGGAUGUCACCAUUUGAGGCCCUAUAUGGAAAUAGUUGCAGGUCUCCUGUGUGUUGGGAUGAGGUAGAAGAGAGGAAAUUGUUAGGACCUGAACUAGUAGAGACCACGAAUGAGGCAAUACAGAAGACCAAGACUCGUAUGCAUAUAGCUCAAAGCAGACAGAAAAGCUAUGCUGAUGUGAAACGUAGGGGCCUGGAAUUUGAGACUGGUGUUAAAAUGUUCUUGAAAGUGGCACCUAUGAAAAGUAUUAUGAGGUUUGGCAAGAAAGGAAAGUUGAGUCUGAGAUUUAUUGAACAUUUCGAGGUCUUGGAACGAGUUGGCCCCGUAGCUUACCGUUUGGCAUUGCCUCCAGCACUGUCUUUAGUUCAUAAUGUCUUCCAUAUUUUGAUGCUGAGAAAGUAUGUGACAGACCCAUCCCAUGUAGUUGACUUUAAGCCCUUGCAGUUGAAUGACAACUUGAGCUACGAGGAGAAAUCUGUAGAGAUUCUUGCCAGAGAGGUAAAGACAAUGCACCGCAGGGAGAUUGCAUUUGUGAAAGUCCUGUGGCAGAAUCACCAGUUCAAUGAGGCUAUCUGGGAGCAAGAGGAUGAAAUGAGGGCCCAGUACCCGGAGCCUUUUCAGAAAUGAACUUUUGAGGACGAAAGUUCUUUAAGGAGAGAACAAUGUAACACCCCGAAUUUUUAUUUUAAUGUAAUUUCAGUAAUUUUUAUUAAUUGAGGGUAUUUUUGAAAUUUUGGACUUUAAGUGUAAUUGUGGAAUUUAAUUUUUAACGUUGGAAAUUAUUUAUGUUGGAAAUUGAUGGUAGAAGUUAAUUCCAUCUUGGAAAGGGAGGGAAUUUAAAGAAAUAAUGUGGAUUAAGGAAAGAAUAAAAUAAAAUAAAAAAUAUUAUUUUAUCUUUUUUUAUUCAAUUCUUUCCUUUUCCUUUUUUUUUUCUUUUUCUUCCCUUUUCCCUUCCCAUUAAAACCCUCUUCCCCAAAUUCGAGCGGCACCCAGCCUUUCCCCCUCCGUUUGACGUCGCCCCAUCCAGCCAGCCAUCCGGUCAUUACCUCAGAUCUCACAGUUGAAGCCUCCCCCAGUGCACCACCUCAAACCUCAAGCCAGCCAACCCAGUCGCGUGACCCACGCGUCCGUCCAGCCCCAUUCCUUCGCGCUCCUCCGCACAUCGUCCGUCGCGCGUCAGCCGUCGCACACUGGAGCCCACCAAUGCAACCAGCCGUUUGCGCCCGGGCCGUGAGCCGCCAUCGUUUGGGUCUGCCGCCGAUUUCGUCGCUACAGGAGCCAAGCAACCGCCGAACGUCACUGCUAACUUCACCGACCGUCGAUACACGGUUCAACAGCCAUCGUUUUGUUGGAUUCUUAUUGAAUGGGUUUUGGAUGCCCAAUGAGUGUGCGCCUAAUUUUAUGUUGCCUACAAAAUUUAAGCCUUAGCUUCAAUCUUUUGGAGAAUCUUGGAGUUGAUAGCGGGCUGUUCAACACAUUCAAAGAUUAAUUUUUGAGGUUGGAAAUUAUUUACGUUGGAAAUUGAUGGCAAGAGUUAAUUCUAUCUUAGAAAGGGAGGAAAUUUAAAGAAAUAACGUGGAUUAAGGAAAGAAUAAAAUAAAAUAAAGCAAAAUAUACUAUUUUAUCUUUUUUUUAUUCAAUUAUUUCCUUUCCUUUUCUUUUCUUUUUAUUUUUCUUCCCCUUUCCCUUCCCCUCAACUUCACAUGUAGCAGCAGCCGUGAAACCCUUUUCCCCAAAUUUGAGCGUCGUCCAGCCUUUCCCCCUCUUUUUAACGUCGCGCCGUCUAGCCAGCCAUCCGGUCGAGACUUCAAAUCUCGCGGCCAAAGCCUACCCCAGCGCACUGCCUCGAACCUCAAGCCGGCAAACCCAGUCGCGUGACCCACGUCCAUCCAGCCCUGUUCCAUCGUGCUCCUCCGCACGUCGUUCGUCGUUAGCCGUCACACACCAGAGCCCACGAACGCAAUCGAUCGUUCGUGCCCAGACCAUAAGUCGCCAUCGUUUGGGUCUGCCACCGGUUUCGUCGCCGCAGGAGCCGAGCAAAUGUCGAACAUCACUGCUGACUUCACCGACCGUCGUUGCAUGGUUCAAAACCAUUUUCUCAUGGAUCUCCGCAAAUUUUGGAAUUUUGGCUUCAAUCUUUUGGAGAAUCUCGAAGUUGAGAGCGGGCUGUCCAACACCUUCAAAGAUUAUUUUUUGGUGGAUUUUUGGUUGGAUUUUUUUUUUAAUCGAAGUUCAAAGUGGUUUUGGACUGAACCACGUGUUAGGGCUUGAUUCAAGAUUUAUUUGGGCAAAGAGGAGAUAAGCUUGCUUGGGUUUAUUUGGAUUUAAUUUUGAGGUAAAGGUAGAGAUACACCGGCGAUUGACAAGCGGAAUUCGUGAUCGAGCCACUGGGACCA